rnacentral:lncRNA from 1 species
CUACAUCAAAUGGCAUAGUUUCAUAUUGAAACUACGUUCAUUUUGUGAUCUCAAUAUUUCAUCUCGUUCGUUCAUCCAACUUCGAUCCAUUGGCUCUCAUUCACCCCAAUCCUAGGUAUAUAAACCCCAAAACCCUGAAAUAUUUCCCCCAUUUAGACCUAAUCCCAACCCUUAAUUCAUAUCUUCUCUUCUCCUUCACAUUUCAGCUGCCGCCUCUGUCCCGCCGUGCGCCGCUGCCAGCCGACAUACAAUCACCCCAAACUUACCCCCCUCAAUCUCAACCUCCUCUUUCCAUAUCCAAACCCCAAAUCCCCAAAAUCACCUCAAUCUAACCAAAUCUACAAAUAUCUGAAAAAACCCUAGCCAUCGCCACCUCAAGUCUGGUGAGAUCUAACAUUCACACCACACGCCAUACAUAAAUGGAUAGAUCUCAAUGAGAUAUAUCCUUUCUUAUCCAUUUCACCCUCAAAUGUUCCCGCACCGUCGACCUGAGCACUUCAUUGCUGCCUCACGCCACAUGAGAACACCGUUGCCGUCUACCAUCACUGCUUCACCACCUACACAAACCUCUAUAACUCGUCUUAUAUCAUAUACAUGAUCAAAAACUCUAUUUUCUCCUUGACAUAACAUGGAACUAAUUUUAUUAAGCUGUAAUUCCUUUUUCCAACAAAUGCCAUGGAGAAAAUAAAGCUCAAGGAGUCGAUUCGCUGCAGUUCAUGCUAUCUUUGAGAUUUGAGGGAAACUGUUUGAAUUGUUCUGUACUGCCCCUAACUCAAUUUUAUUUUUCUUUUAGCUUAUGAGUUUUCCUUUUUAGUUUCUAGUUUCGUUUGUCUAUUUUUGAUCAAUAAUAUGAUUGUUGAUUCGUCGUCUCUGUUUAUGACUGUUGAUUGAUUAGAUUGUCAUUGACCAAACUGAUUUCAGUGUCGUUGAAUCAUCCGCUUUGUUAGUCGAUUGUUUAGUUAUUGAACGUCAUCGUCUGAUUGAAAACAAUGCUCAUCUAAUAUCUUUUUUGAGCAUUAGCUUGUGAAAUUUAGUUGUUGUGCCAUGUUAGAUUGCACAAAUCCAAUUCAUUCUAAUCUAGCUUGUUUGAAUGUUUAGUUCGAUUACAUUUUGAGUCUUCUCUCUGAUUUUCUAAUUCGUAGUUUGUUAGCGUUUGAGCAUAUUUGCUGCAUUUCAGUCAUAUAUGGAUAAAAGCUGGGUACCUUAGUUUAAAGUACAUGGUUGUUGGGUAUUUUACUGUUUAAGCAUACUGAAAAAUACAACUUCUUCGCUUUGCAUCAGAUUUUUAUGAAAAGAGGACUGUUUUUGGCACACAAAAGUUAGCCCUUUAGAACAGAUUUUUAGAGAACCAAAAUCUAUCCAAAAUUACUUAUUUUCCUACUUAAAAAGUCAAUGUUUCGCACUUGGACACUCUAUUAUACACAUACUUAGAACAAACAUCUUUUACACUCUAAUAAAACACAAAACUUGAGAGAAAUGUCAACAGUUGAACAUCCAAAUGUAAGCUGAAAAAUUGAAAGUUGUGAGUUUUUCUUCCUUUCCUAGGUUGGUGAAUUUUUGGUUUGAGUUUCCAAUUUGUAUCAGGUUUAAAAGAUUGUUGUUGAUUGGAUGUUCUAUUGCUGUUUGGUUACUAUUUUUUUCUUUGCUAUUGAAAGUUUGUAGUGUUUGUUGGUUGGUUUUUGGAGUUCUGGCCAUUCAGGUAACUUUUAAUCUAUUGUUAUGCAGAUUCCAAUGUCAAGUAUUGAAGAUAUUAAUUUGUUUCUUUUAUUUGAGUAUGCUUGAGGAGACAUAAUGAAGGAAUAAAUGUUUAAAUGCCGCAUAUAUGUCUCAAAUGGGUAGAAUCAGGGAUAAGUAGUUAAUACUUCAAUAUUCCUUUACAGAUUAGCUAAAAUGGUAUCUCGUUUAUUUUUGUUUUAAGAAUAGCGUAUCACAAGUUUCUGUGCACUGUAAGUUUGAUCUUCAUUAACGAUGGUUGGAAUCUA